AUUUUACAUGGCAACUCUCAUGGCUGCAGCCCUGGAAUUGCCUGUUUCUGCUUCGGUGUGUUGUUUGCUCGUGAGCAGUGCCCUACGUGUGCACAGCGUCGGUGCGGAGCAGCCGUUCCGCACCUUCCUGCGCCCUGCCCCCUGUUUGGUCCCCUGUGCAGUAGUUCCUGCAGUUAAAAUGGGCUUUACAGGGCAAGAGAAGCCAAUUUUGGGAGCAUGCUCAUUGUGAUACCCUCAGUGAUUACUGUUUCAAUACAUACUCGUCAGGGCUGAGAUUGUAACUGAUCAGUGAAAGAAAAAAAUUCAAAAGAAAAAGGAAACUGAAGAAGUUAAUUGUACCAGAGCAGAAUCCAGCGAAGCUGAACGGCUUCCCGAAGAGCACUGAGUUUUCUAUACCAGAUUCUGCUCCAGUGGCUAGGACCUUUAUGGCUGCUGUUUCUUUUGCUCUGGGCUCUGAUGGAAGAAAAAAAAAAAAAAAAGCCACCGUGGAUCCCGUCCCUAAAGUAGAAAUUUUCUUUUUCCUUCUGCAAACAAGGCUAAAGAUCGGAGGAGAAUGAAUACGAAAGUAAUUUGGGAUCGUGGUUGUGCCAUUAAAAGUGUUCGGCUUCAGAAAGAAAUUGUUUGGGAAAUCCAAUUAUUUCUUCUCACUGUAUCGACAGUAUUUGAAAGUUGUGUGUUCUUUGAGUAAUCUGGUGCAAGUGACAACAAUCUCCGCAUGCCAGUAUUUUCUACAGUUUAUGGAGCGAAAGCUUGCUUUGACAUUGAAAGGAAGAAGCUUUUGCUAGCAGUCUGUAGAAGGAUUAAAUGUUGAACGUGGGGAAGAGGCAAAAAGUGAAUACACGCCCAGAGGUUAUCCUUGCAUCGAGAAGGGCUCUAAAGUACUCUGUAACCUAGGGCCCACCUGAACAGGAGGACUGAAAGUAUAAAGGGGAAAUAUUGCAAUUAGAAACCCCUUCACAUGCAUUUAAUCCUUCUUUAAGGCAUGAAAGGAAAUAGAAUCAAAUCGUUACUGUACGAAUCUGCUGGAAGAAGCAGGUUUUAACCCAUUUUUAGACGCUUCCUUCCGAUGCAUUGUAAUAUGGCUACUUGUGAGUCAAGGCAGUGAAGAUUUUUGCUGUGCUCUUUUCUUUUUGCUUUCAAAAGUUAAGGACUGUAAGAAAAGUCUGUUCAGUCAGCUGAUACAUUGUCUUGAAU
rnacentral:lncRNA from 7 species